rnacentral:rRNA from 1 species
GUCGAUGACCCAUUAUACAAAAGGUACGCCGUCACAAGACUGGACACUAAUGACAACCCGUCCGCUCAUCGCGUCGGGAUGGACACGCGGAACUGCACCGUUUCAAGCCCGGGAUUGUUGCUGUAGAGACCCGCGUUGGACCGAUGGUCCACCGCGACGCUCAUCCGCACGCCCAUCUUGUUCUGAUAUCCAAACUCGAUCCCCGACCGGAACUGGAUCGGGCCACCGAGAUCGACGCCGCUGCCUUCUUCGUAAAGGCCCGCCAUCGCGUGGAGUUGAACAAAAAGGUUCUGCCGCCGGUUCGUCAGAGUGUAAGCAUGGCCGAUCCCGGCCCAAAGCUCACCAUCCGACGUCGCGGACAAUCCGUAGACAAGUUGAAACGGCCCGUUCGCAUGGCGCGUCUCGCGGCGCAGAUAGAUCUCUUCGCCGACCGUGCGUUCCUGGAACACCGUGUCGCCGACCGAGAUACUCGCGUAAGGCUGAACCUCACGCUGCGCCAGGCAUCCAUUGUUCGGACAAUGAUUGACCCCCAUGUCGAUCAGCCCGGCUAUAAGCCCGACCACCGCAAUGGUUCCGUCCGUUAUGAAUGCUAGAUCCGACAUGCCACAUCUCCCAUGGUCCUCAUGACCACGGUGAUGCAGCAGAUUGUCAUUAGAGUCCAGUCAAGCUCCGACUGAUUGUAGGCGUCCGGUUUCAGGUACUGUUUCACUC